GCCUGUAGUCCCAGCUACUCGGGAGGCUGAGACAGGAGGAUCACUUGAGUCCAGGAGUUCUGGGCUGUAGUGCGCUAUGCCGAUCGGGUGUCCGCACUAAGUUCGGCAUCAAUAUGGUGGCCUCCCGGGAGCGGGGGACCACCAGGUUGCCUAAGGAGGGGUGAACCGGCCCAGGUUGGAAACGGAGCAGGUCAAAACUCCCGUGCUGAUUAGUGUUUUAACAUUUUUAUACUGGUUAGUUCAGAAGCAUGGAAAAGGGAGGAUUGGGUUUUU
rnacentral:SRP_RNA from 1 species